AAACAUCUGCGUCACUCUUUACCACCCUGUCCGCCCUUGAUGUCAGCCAUUUUACAUAGUAAUCGCCACUGAAUUCGGCCAAAAAGUAGCUAGCUAGCUAUCAGGAUUAAAUACAUAUUUAUUGCUAGCAAAUAACCACCGAAGAGCGAAAAUGGAGACCGAAGGUCAAGUUGACUUCAGCACAGAUGAGUUUCCAGAGGGCUCCAAGAUCAACGCAAGUAAAAACCAGCAGGAUGACGGCAAGAUGUUCAUCGGAGGGCUCAGUUGGGACACCAGCAAAACGGACCUCACAGAUUACCUGUCAAAGUUUGGAGAGGUUCUGGACUGCACCAUCAAAACAGACCUAAUGACGGGCCGGUCCCGAGGAUUCGGCUUUGUCCUCUUCAAAGAUGCAGAGAGUGUAGACAGGGUGUUGGAGCUGAAGGAGCACAAGCUGGAUGGGAAGCUGAUUGACCCAAAGAGGGCCAAAGCCAUGAAGGGGAAGGAGCCGCCCAAGAAGGUGUUUGUUGGAGGCCUCAGCCCAGACACCCCAGAGGAGGAGAUCAGGGAAUACUUUGGUGCUUUUGGAGAUAUUGACAGCAUCGAGCUUCCCAUGGACACCAAAACCAACGAGCGACGCGGGUUCUGCUUCGUGACAUACUGUGAGGAGACUCCUGUCCAGAAGCUAUUGGAGUGUAGAUACCACCAAGUCGGAAGCGGAAAGUGUGAAAUCAAAGUGGCCCAGCCCAAAGAAGUGUAUAGACAGCAGCAACAACACAGAGGAGAGAGAGGGGGCUACGGAGGUGGGAGGGGAGGAGGAAACAGGGGCCGGGGACGAGGAGGUCAGAGUAGCUACAACCAGGGUUACAACGGCUACUACAGCCAGAACUAUGGUAGCUACGGAAACGGAUACAGCCAGGGCUACAAUGGCUACACAGGCUAUGACUACUCUGGCUACAACUAUAAUAGUUAUGGUUAUGGACAGGGAUACGACGACUACAAUGGUCAGCAGAGCAGCUAUGGGAAGGCCUCUCGAGAGGUCACAACCCACCAGAACAACUACCAGCCUUACUGAGCUGAUCUGAUCCAAUCCAACAAGACCUGCAUAGACUUCUGCGAGGACUUCAUUGCAGGCCGUGUGUCGCCUGACCACGACAAUCUCUGGGCGUCGCACAUAGCGGGCAGAGAGCACGGCAUGCACAAGAAAACGCUGUCCUGUGAUGGGCUAGGCUGGCUGGAGAAUGACCCUGUACCCAGGUGCCAGCUUUUGGGGAUGAUUCCUAUCCUGUCCACCGAUCGGCUCAUGUUUUAAACACCAGACCCUUAUUUUGCUUCCCACAUCUUAGCUGAAGCUGACAUGAUGACAUGCAGCUUGUCUGACUUUGUAAAUACAGAGGUUGCUGUUUUUUGUUUCCUGUUCUUCCCACCCUUUUCUCUUUGUUGUGUACUCUGCUGAGAUUGUAGGUCUAGGUUUCAUCCUGAUUUAAUGUGUUCUUAUGACCUUGAUUUUCACCUUGUCCUGUGAUUUUAAACUUGGAAUUUUCUUUAAAUUUUUUGGAUAAUGGUAUUAUUAAAAGUGGGUACAAAACUGA